AACUGCAAGUCGAACGGCAGCACGGGGGCAACCCUGGUGGCGAGUGGCGAACGGGUGAGUAAUACAUCGGAACGUGUCCUGGAGUGGGGGAUAGCCCGGCGAAAGCCGGAUUAAUACCGCAUACGCUCUGUGGAGGAAAGGGGGGGAUCGCAAGACCUCUCGCUCAAGGGGCGGCCGAUGGCAGAUUAGGUAGUUGGUGGGGUAAAGGCCUACCAAGGCGACGAUCUGUAGCUGGUCUGAGAGGACGACCAGCCACACUGGGACUGAGACACGGCCCAGACUCCUACGGGAGGCAGCAGUGGGGAAUUUUGGACAAUGGGCGCAAGCCUGAUCCAGCAAUGCCGCGUGUGUGAAGAAGGCCUUCGGGUUGUAAAGCACUUUUGUCCGGAAAGAAAACUUCUGUCCUAAUACGGCGGGGGGAUGACGGUACCGGAAGAAUAAGCACCGGCU
rnacentral:rRNA from 2 species